CCCUGUACUCCCUCCACCAAAGGGCUGCUUCCUGGCUGAAACCAGGAAAUGGAUAGGGGAACUAGCUCUCUUAGUCCUUACAAGGACUUUCCCCGCUGCAUCCCCUGCAAGCUAGAACAGCAGGGGUUAAUCUCCCUACCCUCCAGUAACUGGAAGAGACACAGUUCUGGAGGUACAACUCUGACAAUCUUUAUUUGGAACACACAGAUUUUAUGCACAGACCCCCACAGGAGGUCUCCAUUCAAAGUAACCCAAAACAUAAACCCGCCCCGGCGUCACUGUGUCUGGGAGAUAAUAACGUUCCCUCUCAGGUCCAAAGGGCCAUCCCUCC